AUUAUAUAUUGUAUAAACAUGAUAGUCCUUUCAUGAUUAUAUGAUAGGUGGUGCAUGGCCGUUCUUAGUUCGUGGAGUGAUCUGUCUGCUUAAUUGCGUUUCAGAUUAUAUUAACAAUAUUAUAUAUUAUAAUAUUAUUAUAUAGUUCUGCUCUUAUUUUAAUAGAGAUUGUGAACAUAUAUUAUAUUAUAUAUAUAAUAUUUAUUAAAUGAAUGCAACGAACGUGACUAUAACCUUUUAUUGCUAUAUAUUAAUUUAAUAUAUUAAUUACUUUGGUAUUAAUAUAUAAUAUAGCUUAAAAUUAAAGGAACCGCUGUCUAUUCUAAGUGCUUAAAACAGAGUAAGAUUAUGGCAAUAACAGGUCUGUGAUGCCCUCAGAUGUUCUGGGCUGCACACGUGCUACAAUGAUCACACUAAUAAGUGUCUAAUUAAACAAAUAGUAUUUAUUUUAAUAUAUAUUUUCCAAUAUAUAUUAAUUUAAAAUCUAUAUAAAACCUAUUUCGAAAGUGAAUGGGUAAUCAUUUAAAAAUCGUGACAAAUUAUAUUUAUACUACAUUAUAUAAAUAUUAUCAUAUUAAUAGAAUAAUUAUUUAUUAUUAUCUCUUAUUAAUUAAUAAUAUUUGUAGUAUUAAUUAAUUCAUGGUGGGGAUAGUGUAUUGUUAAUUAUUACACUUGGCUUUAACUAGGAAUGCCUUGUACUGUUCCUUGGUUCAACAUACCAACAGGAAUACGUCCCUGCCCUUUGUACACACCGCCCGUCGCUCUUACCGAUGAAUUAUAUUAUAAGUCUAAGGGACUUAUCUACAUGUUAUUAUUGGUAAUAAAGGAUUNUUAUAGCAUAACUUAUAUACAUAAUGUGAUUUAAAGGAAAGAGAAGUCGUAACAAGGCAUCGUAGGUGAACCU
rnacentral:rRNA from 1 species